rnacentral:tmRNA from 1 species
GGGGCUGAUUCUGGAUUCGACGGGAUUUGCGAAACCCAAGGAGCAUGCCGAGGGGCGGUUGGCCUCGUAAAAAGCCGCAAAAAAUAGUCGCAAACGACGAAAACUACGCUUUAGCAGCUUAAUAACCUGCUUAGAGCCCUCUCUCCCUAGCCUCCGCUCUUAGGACGGGGAUCAAGAGAGGUCAAACCCAAAAGAGAUCGCGUGGAAGCCCUGCCUGGGGUUGAAGCGUUAAAACUUAAUCAGGCUAGUUUGUUAGUGGCGUGUCCGUCCGCAGCUGGCAAGCGAAUGUAAAGACUGACUAAGCAUGUAGUACCGAGGAUGUAGGAAUUUCGGACGCGGGUUCAACUCCCGCCAGCUCCACCA